rnacentral:rRNA from 1 species
AUUGAACGCUGGCGGCAGGCCUAACACAUGCAAGUCGAACGCGUGGCGGACGGGUGAGUAAUGUCUGGGAAACUGCCUGAUGGGGGGGGAUAACUACUGGAAACGGUAGAUAAUACCGCAUACCCUCAGAUGUGCCAAUAUGGGAUUAGCUUGUUGGUGGGGUAACGGCUCACCAAGGCGACGAUCCCUCGCUGGUCUGCGAGGAUGACCAGCCACACUGGAACUGAGACACGGCCCAGAAUCCUACGGGAGGCAGUAGUGGGGAAUAUUGCACAAUGGGCGCAAGCCUGAUACAGCCAUGCCGCGUGUAUGAAGAAGGCCUUCGGGUUGUAAAGUACUUUCAGCGGGGAGGCGUUACCCGCAGAAGAAGCACCGGCUAACUCCGUGCCAGCAGCCGCGGUAAUUC